UUGGUAGCCUUCCAUGCUGCACCGAUAGAAGGCGGAUUGGUCGGAAUCCACUCGGAGCGCCACCGCUUGGUGGUUCUGUCCUCCAGCCGUAUUACUAAAUGUCAUGUCCCUUGCUAUGAAUCCUUUGCCAGAGACAGCUACAACACAAAAAUUCAUGAGGCAUGAUAAUACUAUAAAUACAUUUUACCUGUCAAUCAUUUCUAAUGCAUACUUAUCAAAA
rnacentral:misc_RNA from 1 species